rnacentral:misc_RNA from 1 species
GAUGAAGAAACGUAGCGAAAUGCGAUAAGUAGUGUGAAUUGCAGAAUUCAGUGAAUCAUCGAAUCUUUGAACGCACAUUGCGCCCCUCGGUAUUCCGUGGGGCAUGCCUGUUCGAGCGUCAUUUAACCCCUCAAGCCUAGCUUGGUAUUGGGUGCUUGUCCCGCCUCUCGCGCGGCGACUCACCUCAAAGUCAUUGGCAGCCCACAUCUCGCCGGCCGUGAGCGCAGCACAGACGCGCUCUUGGCAACGACGGAUCGGCUCUCCAAAAGCUUAUUUCAACCACUGACCUCGGAUCAGGUAGGGAUACCCGCUGAACUUAAGCAUAUCAAUAAGCGGAGGA